UCCCUUGUGUGUCUGUCUGUCAUUUUCCUCGCCGAUUCCAGACUUCUCCUCGAGCCUUCUCCCUGGUUCUCCCGCAGUGGUGGUCUCCCUCUGGGUGGUCUGCGGCAGGUGGCGCCCGAACAGGGACCUGAAGGACAGGAUGCCGACUCCCCGAUUUGGAUCCCGGAUCGCCUUAUCCGACCUGCAAAAG